GCUUCUGCCUGCAUGCCUUCUUCCUCUGCAGGUGAUUUAAAAGCAAGAUAAUUGCAGGCCCGAGUGCCGGAUGUACACGAAAGAAUUCAAGGGAGACUGAGAAAGAUUUUAAUAAGCAACAGGGAUGCAGCUGGAGGCCGUUAUCCUAAGCCAACUGAUGCAGAAACAAAACCACUGAAUACUGCAUGUCCUCACUUAGAAGUGGGAGAUCAAGAUUGAAUACACAUGGACACAAAGAUGGCAACAAUAGAAACUGGGGACUAAUAGAGGGGGAGGAGGAGAAGAGGGCAAGGGUUGAAAAACUAUUAGGUACUAUGCUCAGUACCUGGGUGACAAGAUCAUUCAUACCUCAGACCUUAGUAUCACACAAUAUACCCAGGUAACAAACUUGCACAUGUAUCCCUUGCAUCUAAAAUAAAAGUUUA
rnacentral:lncRNA from 1 species